UCGCCUGGUUUUCAAAAACAUAGCUUAUUGUUUUUUAUAAUAAGUUUUUUCUGCCCGGUGAAAAAUAAACGGCCGCGGUAUUCUGACCGUGCAAAGGUAGCAUAAUCAUUUGUCCUUUAAUUGGGGGCUAGUAUGAAGGAAAGUUACGAAAGCUUAGCUGUCUCUUUUUUAUUUUUGGAAUUUGCUGUUUAUGUGAAGAAGCAUGGUUAAUUAAAAAAGACAAGAAGACCCUAUUAAGCUUAAUUUUAGCUUAAAUUUUUCUUAUCUUAAUGAAUAUUUAAAAUUUUUUAAAAAUUUGGUUGGGGUGACUAAAAAGGAUUUAUUUAUCCUCUUUAUUAAAAUAGACGUUUGUGUUUAAUUUUUGGACCAAGAUCUUUUGAUGUUAAGAGUUAGUUACUAUAGGGAUAACAGCGUAAUUUUUUUGGAGAGUUCUUAUUGAGAAAAAAGUUUGCGACCUCGAUGUUGACUUAUUAUUUCCUUUCAAGGUGCAGAAGCUUAAAGGGUUAGUCUGUUCGACUAUUAAAAUAAUACGUGAUCUGAGUCAGAC
rnacentral:rRNA from 1 species